GGUCGACAGGCCCUCCUUACAUAUGAUCAAGAUAGCUCUAGCUCCUCCUCCACUGGUCAGUAUCAGGGUCCUGGUCAGUACUACAACCCAUAUAGCACUUCUCCACCUACAGGAGGCUUUCUGUGGCCACCUCCAGGGACCAUGAACCCAUCUGUUCCGCGGUCAGUUGCAGCGCUGCCUUACUUGCAACUUCACGGCUACACACCAUAUGGAGUUCCUUAUGGUCAGGGGUACGGACAGCCUACGUACCCAUAUUUGCCAGAAACAAGUGAGCCGUAUGAGGGACCACCGGGAGAGAGAUUUAAGGACUGAAGAACGCAGAGACUAUGCAUUUGCUACAUGGAUUAUGGAUGGACAAUACUUUCGAUUACAAUGGAUGCAAUAUGUUGUAUUAAACGGACUACAGACUUAAUUGUAAUAAUUUUAGUAGACUUUGCACUUGUGACUAAGUACGGGUGAACUUUAGACAUGAAUUAUGUGUUUCGUGUUUGUA